rnacentral:rRNA from 1 species
CCUACGGGAGGCAGCAGUGGGGAAUUUUGGACAAUGGGCGCAAGCCUGAUCCAGCAAUGCCGCGUGCAGGAAGAAGGCCUUCGGGUUGUAAACUGCUUUUGUACGGAACGAAACGGUCCUGGUUAAUACCCGGGGCUAAUGACGGUACCGUAAGAAUAAGCACCGGCUAACUACGCCAGACGCCCCC